UAGGGAAUCUUCGGCAAUGGACGAAAGUCUGACCGAGCAACGCCGCGUGAGUGAAGAAGGUUUUCGGAUCGUAAAACUCUGUUGUCAGAGAAGAACAAGGACGUUAGUAACUGAACGCCCCCUGACGGUAUCUAACCAGAAAGCCACCGCUAACUACGUGCCAGCAGCCGCGGUAAUACGUAGGUGGCAAGCGUUGUCCGGACUUAUUGGGCGUAAAGCGAGCGCAGGCGGUUUCUUAAGUCUGAUGUGAAAGCCCCCGGCUCAACCGGGGAGGGUCAUUGGAAACUGGGAGACUUGAGUGCAGAAGAGGAGGGUGGAAUUCCAUGUGUAGCGGUGAAAUGCGUAGAUAUAUGGAGGAACACCAGUGGCGAAGGCGGCUCUCUGGUCUGUAACUGACGCUGAGGCUCGAAAGCGUGGGGAGCAAACAGG
rnacentral:rRNA from 1 species